rnacentral:tRNA from 1 species
GCUGGAGUCGCCUAACCUGGUAUGGCGGCAGUCUCGAAAACUGCUUUCCUUUUGGAAGUCCAGGUUCAAAUCCUGGCUCCAGCG